rnacentral:snRNA from 1 species
GUGCUCACUUCGGCAGCACAUAUACUAAAAUUGGGACAAUACAGAGAAGAUUAGCAUGACCCCUGUGCAAUGAUGCCAUGCAAAUUCGUGAAGCAUUCCGUAUUUAA